CUCCAAGGCUAAAUACUCCUGACUGACCGAUAGUGAACCAGUACCGUGAGGGAAAGGCGAAAAGAACCCCGGCGAGGGGAGUGAAAAAGAACCUGAAACCGUGUACGUACAAGCAGUGGGAGCACGCUUAGGCGUGUGACUGCGUACCUUUUGUAUAAUGGGUCAGCGACUUAUAUUCUGUAGCAAGGUUAACCGAAUAGGGGAGCCGAAGGGAAACCGAGUCUUAACUGGGCGUUAAGUUGCAGGGUAUAGACCCGAAACCCGGUGAUCUAGCCAUGGGCAGGUUGAAGGUUGGGUAACACUAACUGGAGGACCGAACCGACUAAUGUUGAAAAAUUAGCGGAUGACUUGUGGCUGGGGGUGAAAGGCCAAUCAAACCGGGAGAUAGCUGGUUCUCCCCGAAAGCUAUUUAGGUAGCGCCUCGUGAAUUCAUCUCCGGGGGUAGAGCACUGUUUCGGCAAGGGGGUCAUCCCGACUUACCAACCCGAUGCAAACUGCGAAUACCGGAGAAUGUUAUCACGGGAGACACACGGCGGGUGCUAACGUCCGUCGUGAAGAGGGAAACAACCCAGACCGCCAGCUAAGGUCCCAAAGUCAUGGUUAAGUGGGAAACGAUGUGGGAAGGCCCAGACAGCCAGGAUGUUGGCUUAGAAGCAGCCAUCAUUUAAAGAAAGCGUAAUAGCUCACUGGUCGAGUCGGCCUGCGCGGAAGAUGUAACGGGGCUAAACCAUGCACCGAAGCUGCGGCAGCGACGCUGAUGCGUUGUUGGGUAGGGGAGCGUUCUGUAAGCCUGCGAAGGUGUGCUGUGAGG
rnacentral:rRNA from 1 species